rnacentral:miRNA from 1 species
UGGCUGAACGUUGUUAUGCGU